rnacentral:rRNA from 1 species
UACGUAGGGUGCGAGCGUUUGUCCGGAAUUAUUGGGCGUAAAGGGCUCGUAGGCGGUUUGUCACGUCGGGAGUGAAAACACCGGGCUUAACUCGGUGCUUGCUUCCGAUACGGGCAGACUAGAGGCAUGCAGGGGAGAACGGAAUUCCUGGUGUAGCGGGUGAAAUGCGCAGAUAUCAGGAGGACACCGGUGGCGAAGGCGGUUCUCUGGGCAUGUCCUGACGCUGAGGAGCGAAAGUGUGGGGAGCGAACAGG